UUUCUUGCACUUUUCAAUGUCCCAUGCUUGGUGCUCUCUUGCAAAGUCCAAAUGGGCAAUUUUGUGGCGUUGAAGGAGACAAGGCCUUUGAAGACGUUUUUCGUUCUUAAAGUCUUUCUCUGGCAGAUGCCGUCUGAUGGUUAUUGGGCAGCAGUCGGCACCAGUAAUGGCCUUAAUUUGGGUCAAGGAUCAUCCCAUGUCUUGACGGACACCCAAUCGGAUCUUCCAGCUCAGCGCUGGUGAAAUUUUUCGGGUCUACCACUUGACUUUUUUGUUC